GUUUGUGCAUUGCAGUAAUCACAUUUCAUUCCAGGGACUCCGGAUCAGGUCCGACACCUAAUAAGCUUUAGGACUAACAACGAGGAGAAUUUCAAUAAGAAGAAAUAUGCUGCUAAACCACUGUGGGAGAAACUCAUCAAAGAGCUGGAACUGGAGGGAAAGACAGUGGGGAGGCCACAGCAGCCUCAUGGCCUUUCUACGAAGAUAUGCAUGAGGUUUUGGGGUCCAGACCUUCAAUCCAGCCUCCAUGUUUGUUGGCGUCUUAUGAAGAUCCCACGCAAAUACUCAUGAACAUAAUCGACCCUCCAUCCUCACCGGUGUCCUCUCUGACAAAUUCAGAGGAAAGCACAGAGAACACUUUGGAAGACGCCAGCACAUCGGCCUCAAGCUCUGCCUCACCAGCUGGAAGAGGAA